rnacentral:rRNA from 1 species
AUUGAACGCUGGCGGCAGGCCCAACACAUGCAAGUCGAGCGGAGCGGCGGAAGGGUGAGUAAUGCCUAGGCAUCUGCCUGGUGGUGGGGGAUAACGUCUGGACACGGGCGCUAAUACCGCAUACUAUCAGAUGAGCCUGGGUGGGAUUAGCUAGUUGGUGGGGUAAAGGCCUACCAAGGCGACGAGCCGUAACUGGUCUGAGAGGAUGAUCAGUCACACUGGAAUUGAGACACGGUCCAGACUCCUACAGUAGGCAGCAGUGGGGAAUAGUGGACAAUGGGCGAAAGCCUGAUCGAGCCAUGCAGCGUGUGUGAAGAAGGUCUGCGGAUUGUAAAGUACUUUAAGUUGGGAGGCGUUACCAACAGAAUAAGCACCGGCUAACUACGUGCCAGCCGCCGCGGUAAUUC